rnacentral:rRNA from 1 species
UACGUAGGUGGCAAGCGUUGUCCGGAUUUACUGGGCGUAAAGGAUGUGUAGGCGGAUAUUUAAGUCAGUUGUGAAAUACCCGAGCUUAACUUGGGUGCUGCAUUUGAAACUGGAUAUCUAGAGGGUGGGAGAGGUAAGCGGAAUUCCUGGUGUAGCGGUGAAAUGCGUAGAUAUCAGGAGGAACACCUGUGGUGUAGACAGCUUACUGGACCACUUCUGACGCUGAGACACGAAAGCGUGGGUAGCAAACAGG